UACGUAGGGGCCGAGCGUUGUCCGGAGUUACUGGGCGUAAAGCGCGCGCAGGCGGCUCGUCAAGCCUGACGUGAAAGCCCCCGGCUCAACCGGGGAGGGUCGUCGGGGACUGGCGGGCUUGAGGUCGGCAGGGGUUGGUGGAAUUCCCAGUGUAGCGGUGAAAUGCGUAGAUAUUGGGAGGAACACCAGUGGCGAAGGCGGCUCACUGGACCGGAACUGACGCUGAGGCGCGAAAGCGUGGGGAGCAAACAGG
rnacentral:rRNA from 1 species